rnacentral:rRNA from 1 species
GACGAACGCUGGCGGCGUGCCUAAUACAUGCAAGUCGAGCGGACCAAAGGGAGCUUGCUCCUGGAGGUUAGCGGCGAACGGGUGAGUAACACGUGGGCAACCUGCCUGUAAGACUGGGAUAACAUCGAGAAAUCGGUGCUAAUACCGGAUAAUAAAAAGAACUGCAUGGUUCUUUUUUGAAAGAUGGUUUCGGCUAUCACUUACAGAUGGGCCCGCGGCGCAUUAGCUAGUUGGUGAGGUAACGGCUCACCAAGGCAACGAUGCGUAGCCGACCUGAGAGGGUGAUCGGCCACACUGGGACUGAGACACGGCCCAGACUCCUACGGGAGGCAGCAGUAGGGAAUCUUCCGCAAUGGACGAAAGUCUGACGGAGCAACGCCGCGUGAGUGAUGAAGGUUUUCGGAUCGUAAAACUCUGUUGUUAGGGAAGAACAAGUGCCGUUCGAAAGGGCGGCACCUUGACGGUACCUAACGAGAAAGCCACGGCUAACUACGUGCCAGCAGCCGCGGU